UCCAAAGUGUGACCAAAAUCAUAGUCAGAACGCAACUUUUCAGCCAAAGCGAUGUAGUUAUCAAACUCUUCUCCAGAAAGCUUUGGAAAUAUCCCAACAAUGAAAACAUUCUUAAUGAGAUUAUUAGCAUCCUCGGCAGAUUUUAUUUCAGCAGAAGCAGGCCCACUUUGCUUCUUCAAGUAGUCAACAAUACCAUCUGCAUCGCGAGGUCCCUUGUAAUCCUGACUUGAUUUGCCCCCAUUUCUGAGUAUCUUAAUGGUGGGGAAACCCCUAAUUUCAAAUUGACUUGCCAGCUCUCUGUUCGACUCUUCAUUUGCAUCAACUUUGGCUAAAGUAAUCGGAGGGUCAUGACUGCUCAAAACAGACGCAGCUUUUUCAUACUCUGGUGCCAGG
rnacentral:misc_RNA from 1 species